GGGAUGCUGGGAAGGUGUUGAAAGGAGCUGAGGGCUGAACCAGUUCACACCAGAAAUUCCUUCCAGCACAGAGCUCAGGGGUCACUUGGUCAGUUAGUGCCAGGGCUGCAAUUCGAACUCAGGUUUCCUGACUCCCAGAUUUUGUAACCAGGGUCUGUCACUUCUAAAGGCCAUUAGAGUUCACCUGGUCCAACAUCCUUGUUUUAUAGAAUGAAGGGUAACUGAGGGCCAAAGAGGAGACCACACAAGGACACCUCCAGGCUUUGUGGCAAUGCUGGACUUGAGCUCUGGUCUUCAGGGCAUUCAUCUGCCUCUUCUUCUAAAUCCUGGGCUCUCAGGGGGCUGGGAGCCUACUGUUUCGCCUGCCUGGGUCAGGAGGGAGUUAACAAGAUAAGGAAGAAAGCCACACUCAGCGACAGUGUUUCUUGUUUAGAAAUGCAAAUGCCUUGCAAGGCCAUGCUCAAUGCUUCACGUUUUAUGCCACACAAUUACUCUUUUUUUCCCACCCUCUAAGGCUUGUCUGGGAUUGUUUGUACUACAAAAACCAGAGGGAAUUGAGCUAUUUGCUGGAACAAUCCGGCUAAAUCCAGCUUCUGGGAUGAGGCCUGCCUUAGCAAUGAGGGCCCUCACCCCCUCCCCCUGGCUGGGAUGGAGGGCAGGCUGCCUGGACACAGCCUUCUGCCCUUUCUGGCUUCCUCCUCCCAAAGACCAGAGAUGGGCCAAAGGGGCAAGUCUGGCUCAGGAGGCCACCAUGCAUCUUCUCCAUUACACAGAAGCGAAGACAGAGGCGGGAUCUUCCAUUCAGUUCAUGCUGGACGUGGGGGUCCUGUGGAGGAGUCCUUGGGAUGAAAUGGCCUGGAGAGCGGCUCAGCCUUGAAAUCUGUGACUUGGUGAUGCUCAAGUUCCUCCCAGCUGGGACAUCGUGCAAUUGGCUUCUUUGGGCGCUGGGUUGACUCUCCCAGCUGAGCAUGUUCUAUCUCCUCCCUCCUUUUGUUCUUCCUCACAUCCAUGCAGGGCACUUUCUGGAAGGACAUCAAUGUUUAGGCCCAAAGCGUGUGGUUUUGAACAUCACUCGCUCCGUCUCGCCCGCUGCCAGCACUCUGGUUGGUUCCACUGCCAUCCUGGACCCUUUGAUGGGAAGGAAUUCAUCAGAGCCGGUCUCUCCCCCUGAGAGGCAGCGUUUUCAUGUCCUUGCCUGCAUCGCUGGUCUAGCCUCGCCUAACGGGAACGCGGUCCAUGAGGCCCUUCGCGUGGCAGAUAAUGAGGUGGAUGGCUCUUUCAAACACCGCCUCCCAGAGGCCCUCCAGACUGCCCCGGUCCAUGCAGAGCUCUCUGAACUCCCAGGUGAUUUCUACUUUGGCACCUAAUUGUAGUCUGUCCUUUAAAUGAACCGUUUCUUACUUUUCCAUCUUGUGUAAAGUCCCUCAGGACGAGAAUAUAUUUUCUCUUUUCUCGUGUUCCCCACGGGUCCUUGGGCGGAACUGAGCGCAGAGUCAAGGACAUGAAACAGAAUCAAGAUGACAUUUAUUUAACAUGGACUGACCGUCCGACACCCCGCGGGGCGUGUUUGCAUCGGGGCUCGCGUGUGCUUCUCAUCAGCAGCCCUGUGGAUUGGAUCUUCGGACACAGGUUUUCACGCACGAAGCAACUGACGCUUAAGACAGACAGUGUCACACGCCCAAGGUCACAUGCAGAGGAAGAGAAAGGAUGACAAUUCACACGCGUGGUGCUGUGAUUCCUUCAGCGUCUGUGUCUUCCGUGAGCCCGCUGGCAGAGGGGUGGGGAGGGGGGCAGUACGAGUGGACCCGGGUUCUCUGUUACUUAGUGUUUAGGGCGGGGUCUCUGCGCUCAGGCUCUGAGUUCAGAUCCUGCCUCGACAGCUGAGCUGUGCCACUGUAGACGGAGCACUGCUUCUCUCCUGCCCCAGGCGUCUGUGUGGGGACCCUGCGGGAUAUCUAGGGCCUCUGUGUAUCCCACUGCUCCACGCGGCUUCAUUUACCAGUCCCUCGAUGCAGCUCUUAUUUGGCGCUUACGGUAUGCCCGAAAUGAUUCUAAGUGCUUGACAAGUACUCAUGCAUUUCGGCCUCAUAUGGCCCCUAUGAAGGAAGCGCUACUGUUAUCCCUAUUUUGCAGAUGAGAAAACUGAGCUCAGAGAGGCAGAGCGACACGUCAAGCAAUAGAACUAGAAUUUGAACCCAGUCUGCCUGGCUCCAGAGUCCCUGCUCUUAGCCAUUACGCUCAACUGUCUGUUUAUUUAAUAAAUAGUGGUUGAAUCAGAUUGAAUCA
rnacentral:lncRNA from 1 species